UACAUGGGGUGCAAACGUUGCUCGGAAUCAUUGGGCGUAAAGCGCGCGUAGGCGGCUUUGCAAGUCGGGUGUGAAAUCCCCAGGCUUAACCUGGGAACUGCAUUCGAGACUGCAUUGCUAGAGUAUGGGAGAGGGAAGUGGAAUUUCCGGUGUAGCGGUGAAAUGCGUAGAUAUCGGAAGGAACAUCAGUGGCGAAAGCGACUUCCUGGACCAAUACUGACGCUCAUGUGCGAAAGCGUGGGGAGCAAACAGG
rnacentral:rRNA from 1 species